ACAAGCGGUGGAUGAUGUGGAUUAAUUCGAUGCAACGCGAAAACCUUACCUACCCUUGACAUGUCCGGAAUCCUGCAGAGAUGCGGGAGUGCCGAAAGGGAAUCGGAACACAGGUGCUGCAUGGCUGUCGUCAGCUCGUGUCGUGAGAUGUUGGGUUAAGUCCCGCAACGAGCGCAACCCUUAUCAUUAGUUGCUACGCAAGGGCACUCUAAUGAGACUGCCGGUGACAAACCGGAGGAAGUGGGGAUGACGUCAAGUCCUCAUGGCCCUUAUGGGUAGGGCUUCACACGUCAUACAAUGGUCGGUACAGAGGGUUGCCAAGCCGCGAGGUGGAGCCAAUCCCAGAAAGCCGAUCGUAGUCCGGAUUGUUCUCUGCAACUCGAGAGCAUGAAGUCGGAAUCGCUAGUAAUCGCAGAUCAGCAACGCUGCGGUGAAUACGUUCCCGGGCCUU
rnacentral:rRNA from 1 species